GGUUGCGAUCAUACCAGCACUAAUGCACCAGAUCCAAUUAGAACUCCGUAGUUAAGCGUGCUUGGCCGAGAGUAGUACUAGGAUGGUUGAACCCCUGGGAAGUCCUCGUGUUGCAACCC
rnacentral:rRNA from 1 species